AGUGAACGCUGGCGGUAGGCCUAACACAUGCAAGUCGAACAGCAGCACAGUAAGAGCUUGCUCUUACGGGUGGCGAGUGGCGGACGGGUGAGGAAUACAUCGGAAUCUACUUUUUCGUGGGGGAUAACGUAGGGAAACUUACGCUAAUACCGCAUACGACCUACGGGUGAAAGCAGGGGAUCUUCGGACCUUGCGCGAUUGAAUGAGCCGAUGUCGGAUUAGCUAGUUGGCGGGGUAAAGGCCCACCAAGGCGACGAUCCGUAGCUGGUCUGAGAGGAUGAUCAGCCACACUGGAACUGAGACACGGUCCAGACUCCUACGGGAGGCAGCAGUGGGGAAUAUUGGACAAUGGGCGCAAGCCUGAUCCAGCCAUACCGCGUGGGUGAAGAAGGCCUUCGGGUUGUAAAGCCCUUUUGUUGGGAAAGAAAAGCGGCAGGUUAAUACCCCGCUGUUCUGACGGUACCCAAAGAAUAAGCACCGGCUAACUUCGUG
rnacentral:rRNA from 1 species